AGCUGUGACACUCUUGCUACUUUCCCCAGACCUGAAGAAGAGCGCUUGUAGUGCUAAAGCUUGUCUCUGUCACCACGAUAAGUUGGUUCAACAAAAGACACUGCCUCACCUCCACCGUGUCUAAUUUCUGACUUAUCUUGCCGUCUAAUAUCCAGCAAAUGCAGAUUACCAAUGAUCGGAAGAGGAGGUGGACCAGGAGGCAGUUUCAAAGAACAGCCCUUGGUGGAUUGAGGUGAAGUCACCCACACAGAUCCACCUCUGAAGACCCUGCUGAAGGGCUGGCAGUGAACAGCACCCUGGCACCACCUGAGGACCCGAACAGAACAGGAGGGGUCAGGUCACCAGUUCCCUUGAAGACAUCAAAGGAUAAUGUGAGGCAGGUGUUCUGGGAAGGUAGUUGUGGGGGAAAAGGAAUUCAUGGAGUUUUGUGACUCUAACCAAACCUAUAGGGGCUGGUCUAUGCCGAGUUUGCACACGCCUUCUAAUACUGACCAGACAUGCACUGAGAACUGCCCGUGCAUGCAGAUUUAGCCUCUACUUCACCAUGAGUUGAGCUAUAGAGACUGUUAAUCUUUCUAGUCCUUGUUACGCAGCGGGUGGGUGAGACCAGGUGUGGCAUUGCUAAUGUAGUUGCCAAGUUCCCAGGACCAAAACAUGAUUAAACUAGGCAUAUAUGAAUUGAAUUUGCAUAUUCUUGUGAUGGUGAGACAUUUAAAGGUGAUAAUAAG